AUACGGAGGGGGCUAGCGUUGUUCGGAAUUACUGGGCGUAAAGCGCGCGUCGGCGGUUUAUCUAGUCAGGCGUGAAAGCCCCGGGCUUAACCUGGGAACUGCGUUUGAUACUGAUAGACUAGAGGCCGGGAGAGGGUAGUGGAAUUCCCAGUGUAGAGGUGAAAUUCGUAGAUAUUUGGAAGAACACCAGUGGCGAAGGCGGCUACCUGGACCGGACCUGACGCUGAGGUGCGAAAGCGUGGGGAGCAAACAGGAUUAGAAACCCCGGUAGUCC
rnacentral:rRNA from 1 species